CCUACGGGAGGCAGCAGUGAGGAAUAUUGGUCAAUGGACGCAAGUCUGAACCAGCCAUGCCGCGUGCAGGAAGACGGCCCUAUGAGUUGUAAACUGCUUUUGUACGGGGGUAAACGCAGAUACGCGUAUCUGUCUGAAAGUACUGUACGAAUAAGGAUCGGCUAACUCCGUGCCAGCAGCCGCGGUAAGACGGAGGAUUCAAGCGUUAUCCGGAUUUAUUGGGUUUAAAGGGUGCGUAGGCGGUUUGAUAAGUUAGAGGUGAAAACCCGAGGCUCAACCUCGGAAUUGCCUCUGAUACUGUCAGGCUAGAGUAUAGUUGAGGUAGGCGGAAUUCAUGGUGUAGCGGUGAAAUGCUUAGAGAUCAUGAAGAACACCGAUUGCGAAGGCAGCUUACCAAGCUACUACUGACGUUGAGGCACGAAAGCGUGGGGAGCAAACAGGAUUAGAUACCCUAGUAGUC
rnacentral:rRNA from 1 species